UGCUUCUCCAUCUCCGCGUCAGCUGCCUGCUUCUGCCGCAGGGCCGCCUGCUCCGCCUGUGCCCGCCGCGCCGCCUCUUGCUCGGCCUCCUUGCGCAGCUUCUCUGCAGCCGCCUGUGCCUGAGCCCGGGCCUGUGCCUGCUCCUCUGCCGACUGCUUCAGCCGCUCGGCCUCUUCCACCUGCCGCCGGGACUGCGCCGCCUCACGCUCCGCCUGCACCCGGGCCUCCUCCGCCUCCUC
rnacentral:lncRNA from 1 species